rnacentral:rRNA from 1 species
UGGGGAAUAUUGGACAAUGGGCGCAAGCCUGAUCCAGCCAUGCCGCGUGAGUGAUGAAGGCCCUAGGGUUGUAAAGCUCUUUCACCGGUGAAGAUAAUGACGGUAACCGGAGAAGAAGCCCCGGCUAACUUCGUGCCAGCAGCCGCGGUAAUACGAAGGGGGCUAGCGUUGUUCGGAUUUACUGGGCGUAAAGCGCACGUAGGCGGACUAUUAAGUCAGGGGUGAAAUCCCGGGGCUCAACCCCGGAACUGCCUUUGAUACUGGUAGUCUUGAGUUCGAGAGAGGUGAGUGGAAUUCCGAGUGUAGAGGUGAAAUUCUUGGAUAUUCGGAGGAACACCAGUGGCGAAGGCGGCUCACUGGCUCGAUACUGACGCUGAGGUGCGAAAGCGUGGGGAGCAAACAGG